AAGUCGUAACAAGGUUUCCGUAGGUGAACCUGCGGAAGGAUCAUUACCGAGUUCAUGCCCUCACGGGUAGAUCUCCCACCCUUUGUAUACUAUACCUUUGUUGCUUUGGCGGGCCGCCUAGCUACUGGCUUCGGCUGGUAAGUGCCCGCCAGAGGACCCAAAACCCUGAAUAUUAGUGUCGUCUGAGUAAAAUUUUAAUAUUUAAAACUUUCAACAACGGAUCUCUUGGCUCUGGCAUCGAUGAAGAACGCAGCGAAAUGCGAUAAGUAAUGUGAAUUGCAGAAUUCAGUGAAUCAUCGAAUCUUUGAACGCACAUUGCGCCCCUUGGUAUUCCGAGGGGCAUGCCUAUUCGAGCGUCAUUAUCACCCCUCAAGCUUCGGCUUGGUGUUGAGGCCUGCUGUAAAGGCACCCUCUAAAAUCAGUGGCAGUGCUGUCAGGCUCUAAGCGUAGUAAUUUCAUCGCUAUAGGGUCCUGGUGGAUACUCGUCAAAACCCCCCUCAUUUUUUAAUGAUUGACCUCGGAUUAGGUAGGGAUACCCGCUGAACUUAAGCAUAUCAAUAAGCGGAGGAAAAGAAACCAACAGGGAUUGCCUCAGUAACGGCGAGUGAAGCGGCAAAAGCUCAAAUUUGAAAUCUGGCUCUUUUAGGGUCCGAGUUGUAAUUUGUAGAAGAUGUUUCGGGUGUGGCUCCGGUUUAAGUUCUUUGGAAUAUUACAUCAUAGAGGGUGAGAAUCCCGUAUGUGACCGGCAGCCUUCGCCUAUGUGAAACUCUUUCGACGAGUCGAGUUGUUUGGGAAUGCAGCUCAAAAUGGGAGGUAUAUUUCUUCUAAAGCUAAAUAUUGGCCAGAGACCGAUAGCGCACAAGUAGAGUGAUCGAAAGAUGAAAAGCACUUUGGAAAGAGAGUUAAACAGUACGUGAAAUUGUUGAAAGGGAAGCGCUUGCAACCAGACUUGCACGCAGUUGAUCAUCCGGUGUUCUCACCGGGGCACUCUGCUGCGUUCAGGCCAGCACCGGUUUUGGUGGUUGGAUAAAGGCCUUGGGAAUGUGGCUUCCUUCGGGGAGUGUUAUAGCCCUCGGUGCAAUGCAGCCUACCGGGACCGAGGACCGCGCUUCGGCUAGGAUGCUGGCGUAAUGGUUGUAAGCGACC
rnacentral:rRNA from 1 species